GAUGACAAUGAUGGUAUUAGCAUAGAGUUGGGUGCUUCAUCUCUAUUGCUUUCAACUUCCACUUAGGUGAUCAUCGAUUAUUCAUCAUGAGGGUCUUCAUCGAAUGCUCAGCUUACUCAUAGUGAUUCUACCUAGGUAUUACCCACGAGUGAUGUUGGUGUCACUGUGACGGAACUUAUUACUCGUCAUUCUUCUGCUCAGGUGCCCCAAGUUGUUCAUCAAGGAGCUCUUCACCGAGCAUCACGUCUCGCUUAGGUGACUACCGAUCUACAGAUUUUUUAGAUGAUCUAUAGAUUUUUUAGUGGAUCUUUAUCCCUUAGGUAUUAUUCUAUUUUUUAGGAUAUUUAAUUUCUUGUUUCUCUUUUUUUCCUUUGAUAAUAACCCCUCUUCUCCCUUUGUAUCUAGGUCUAGGCUACUGUGUUUUACCUCAAGAUCAGUGUCCCAGGCCCACGGAUCUAUUGGUCAGUGAUGGUUGAGAGGAGUCUAGUGUGUUGUUGCUGCACUACAAACUUUACAGUUGAGAGUGGACCUUAACGCUCUUCUAGAUCUAUUUAGUUUCUACACAAAUAUUAGUCUACUCUUAUAUUUUAUUGCAGCAUGUGGCCUUCAGGAUAGCAUUCUACAGGACUAGAAGUUUCUCUGCCAUACUAUAGUGUUUGGACUAUUUUAGCUGCAUAUCAUCUCUUAGGAGUUGUCAUAUGAAAUUCUUACUAAGCUAAAGACAAGAGCCAGAGCUUCUUGGGAUAGAAUGAGGAGAGCUUGCUUUUGAUCUAGAUUUUGGUUUGUAAACUUUAAAACACUAUCAUUGAGACAUAUAUAAGGAGAAAUUUUAUAUUUUGGCUAUAUCAGUCGAGCUCAAAGCUUUGAAGUAAAGGAUGAGGAUUCCUUUGGAGAGACACUCACUGAUCCGGGCAGUAGCUGCUCGUACUGAGGAGUAUUUUGAGUGGAUAACUGAGGAGGCUGACAUAUUAGAGAAGAAUUAAUCUACAUCAGUUGAUGACUUUGACAUGACAAAUCAUUAUUUAGAGGCUAUUCUGGAGAGGCAGAGAGUACUACAUGAUUGCUUGUUCAGAGUUAAACAUCAGAUAAUUAGCCUCCAGUUUCGACUUUGAUUGCCUCUCUACCAUCUCUUUGGUGUUCAAAGCUAACAGUUGUAAAAGCUGAAGCUUGUAGCUGAAGGGUUUACCAGGAGCUGGAUAUUGCGAGGAGUUGCUUAUGGUUAGGAGAUGGAGCUAGGUUUAGAUUUGUUAGGAUUUUUUUUAGCUUUUUCUUUUUAUUUUAGUUGGUGAGACAUGUAUUUAAGUUGUAUAGUGCAAACAAUUAUUUUCUAUGAUUUUAUAGUUUGAUUCAAAAAUAUAAAAGUUCAACAAAA